GCUGGGUGUGGUGGCUCACACCCGUAAUCCCAGCACUUUGGGAGGCUGAGGUGGGCGGAUCACUUGAGGUCAGGAGUUCACGACCAGCCUGGCCAACACAGUGAAACCCCAUCUCUA
rnacentral:sRNA from 1 species